rnacentral:ncRNA from 2 species
GCGGGAGAGGUUCUAGAACAACCCUCUAUAAAAAACUAGGGAAGG